UGAUCCAGAGUACCACGGGACACGUGAAACCCUGUGGGAAGCAGGAGGGACCACCCUCCAAGGCUAAAUACUACCUAGUGACCGAUAGCGUAUAGUACCGUGAGGGAAAGGUGAAAAGAACCCCGGGAGGGGAGUGAAAUAGAACCUGAAACCCUGCACUUACAAGCUGUGGAAGCACAUUUCUUGUGUGACCGCGUACUUUUUGUAGAACGGGCCAACGAGUUACGUUAAGUAGCAAGGUUAAGCACUUAAGGUGCGGAGCCGUAGCGAAAGCGAGUUUUAACUGAGCGUUCAGUUACUUGACGUAGACCCGAAACCGGGCGACCUACCCAUGAGCAGGAUGAAGCGAAAGUAAAAUUUCGUGGAGGUCCGAACCCACGAGCGUUGAAAAGCUCGGGGAUGACUUGUGGGUAGCGGUGAAAUUCCAAUCGAGCCCGGAGAUAGCUGGUUCUCCCCGAAAUAGCUUUAGGGCUAGCCUCAAGGUGAGAGAUACGGAGGUAGAGCACUGAAUGUCCUAGGGGGUAUUGCACCUACCGAAGACUAUCAAACUCCGAAUGCCGUCAUCUUAUACUUGGGAGUCAGACUGUGGGUGAUAAGAUUCAUAGUCGAAAGGGCAACAGCCCAGAUCGUCAGCUAAGGUCCCUAAAUGUAAGUUAAGUGGUAAAGGAUGUGGGAUUGCACAGACAACCAGGAUGUUGGCUUAGAAGCAGCCACUCAUUCAAAGAGUGCGUA
rnacentral:rRNA from 1 species